rnacentral:rRNA from 1 species
GGCGGAAGCCUGAUGCAGCGACGCCGCGUGAGGGAUGACGGCCUUCGGGUUGUAAACCUCUUUCAGCAGGGACGAAGCGCAAGUGACGGUACCUGCAGAAGAAGCGCCGGCCAACUACGUGCCAGCAGCCGCGGUAAGACGUAGGGCGCGAGCGUUGUCCGGAUUUAUUGGGCGUAAAGAGCUCGUAGGCGGCUUGUCGCGUCGAAUGUGAAAUCUCAGGGCUCAACUCUGACAUUGCAUUCGAUACGGGCAGGCUAGAGUUCGGUAGGGGAGACUGGAAUUCCUGGUGUAGCGGUGAAAUGCGCAGAUAUCAGGAGGAACACCGAUGGCGAAGGCAGGUCUCUGGGCCGAUACUGACGCUGAGGAGCGAAAGCGUGGGGAGCGAACAGGAUUAGAUACCCUGGUAGUCCACGCUGUAAACGUUGGGCGCUAGGUGUGGGGACCCUCUCCGGGUUUCUGCGCCGCAGCUAACGCAUUAAGCGCCCCGCCUGGGGAGUACGGCCGCAAGGCUAAAACUCAAAGGAAUUGACGGGGGCCCGCACAAGCGGCGGAGCAUGCGGAUUAAUUCGAUGCAACGCGAAGAACCUUACCUGGGUUUGACAUGGCC